UUGGGCCUCCAUCCCAGGACCCCGGGAUCAUGACCUGAACCAAAAGCAGACGCUCAACUACUGAGCCACCCAGGCGUCCCGUUAUUAUCCCAUUUUAAAGAAAUUAGAGUCCCUGAAGGGUUUGCCGGACUCCAGAGCCUGCGCACUGCUGCACUGCCCACCUUGCUCAGAGGUGGGGAGAGGACCGGUGAGCUGGAGCAGGGGCAGUAAUUUGGGGCCUGGGGAGGAACUUGAUCUCAACCCUCAUGGCCAGCCCCCCAAGUCUCAGAGAACUACCUCUCAAACCAGGGCGCUUCUGAGUAAAUGCCACAGACAGCCCGCCCCAGCAGAGGGUAGGAGUGAGGGCAUGAGGGUGAGGGAGCACGCACAGGUUAUGUGCCAGCCACACGCCAGGCCCUUUGUAUCUGCAACACGGUUCACCCUCCCAUCCCAUCCUCCUUGUGAGUCAAGGGUAGGAUCACCAUUGGGCAGGUGACAGAGGGUCAGAGAGGUAUAGCGACUGACCUAAAGUCACACAGAAGAGGCUGGACCCAUAUCUAGACUGUCUGGCUUUUCCCCUCCCCAGAGCUCCUACAGGCCCUGUGGCUUUAAUCAGUCAGGACAAGGGUUUGGGCACAAAGCAGAUGAUUUGGGUCUGAUGUCACUUUUGGAAAGAUUUGGGCAAGAGAUUUGGGAUAACUCUGCUCUCUCCCUCCCCCCAGACAAAGCUCCUCUCUGAAAAUCAUGAUGGCCCUUCAGUGGCUUGUUAAAAUCCUGGGACCCCGAGCCACUCUCUGACCCUCGAUGCCCAGCCAGGUCCAUCCAAAAUAGGCGCAUGUGUGUAUGCAGUAGGAGGCGGGGCGGGGCCCACUGUCGCCUUGCCACCCCAACCUGGUGACCGUGUACAGUAACAGGAUAACUGGCUGCCCUGUUGACAUCCCAAACCCCAGCCUCUGGCUCCAGGCAGCUGUAGGCUACAGUCCCACAGCCAGCAUCAGCUGGCCGGCUGCUGCUGGAUGUCCACACCCUCACCUCCCAGCCCUGGGAGCACCAGGGAGUCAUGGCUCCUCAUCGGUCAUUCAUCAUGACUCCCCCAGAGCCUAGAACGGUGCCCCCCACAUAGUAAGUUUCAGUAAAUAUCUGCUGAAUGAUGGGCAGUUUCCAAACACAGGCCUGUGGGCCGGCUGUGUGGGGAGCUGAGGGGAACAGAUACUUAGUCCCUUCCCAAGACCCCAAAUCAGAAUCUUGGGAUGCAGAGGGAUGAGUCUGCAUUUGUUAAAAGAUCCCCCAGGUGAUUGGGAUGCCCUGGCAGGUUUGAGAUUCAAGGCAGUGCAUCAUCCCUGUGAUCUGGAGGGAGAGCAUGCCCAGAGACAGGGGGAUGGCCCUGAUGACCUUUGGAGGUCCUUCCUGGCCACUGAGGUCAGUAGAUCCAGUACAUUUAUGGGCGAUGCCUCAGGGAUAGGAGGAAGGGGAGGAGGAACGGUGGGCGGGGGUGGGUAACGGGAUCUGACGUCCAGGAGCAGUGACUCAGGCCCUCAGCACCAUGACACUGUGUCUGCAUUUAGCCACUGGCUCCUGUUUCCCUGGCGGGCGGGAGGCCUCAUGGCCCCCCACCCCGCCCCUACCCUCUUUCCAUCUUGCCUCAUGCUGGUAACUUCCUGGCAGCCCUACUGGAACCCCUUGGCCAAGAUGGGUGACACGGGCCCAGCAAGAACCUCCACCAGAAUGACAGACCCCUCUUGCUCCGGUGACCACUCAGCUCCUGCCCCCACCCCACAGACCACGGGCACCAGUAAUUACCCCUAGAUGGAGCCCCACCCCCCAAGGGUGGUGUUCUGUGAGAAGCAGAGAAAAGAAAAACAGUCCCCAU
rnacentral:lncRNA from 1 species